rnacentral:lncRNA from 1 species
GGGCCACCAUUCGAGCCUUUACAACGAACAUGCAGUAAGAUGAGUCCCAAGCCCUCGGGAGCAAAUGCAGAGCGGGUCUUGCCACAGCUGGGAGCAGGAACUUCCGGACCAUUGGGUUGCUUGUCGUGUAUACGUACAACUUCUCAAUUAAAGACAAUUAUUAAUGUUGACGUGUUUCUGAAUCCAGAGAAAAAAAGCACCUGUGGAGUUCCCAUCGUGGCUCAGAGGAAAUGAAUCUGACUAGCAUCCAUGAGGAUGCAGGUUCGAUCCCUGGCCUCGCUCAGUGGGAGGAUCCAGCAUUGCCGUGAGCUGUGGUGUAGGUGGCAGAUGAGGCUUUGAUUGGCGUUGCCGUGGCUGUGGUGUAGACCAGCAGCUGUGGCUUCAAUUGGAUCCCUAGCCUGUGAACCUCCAUAUGCCAUUGGUGCAGCCCUAAAAAAAAAUAAAAUAAAUUUUUAAAAACUUAAAAAAGUAAAAUAAAGGAGUUCCCAUCGUGGCUCAGUGGUUAACAAAUCCGACUAGGAACCAUGAGGUUGUGGGUUUGAUUCCUGGCCUUGCUCAGUGGGUUGAGGAUCAGGCGUCGCCAUGAGCUGUGGUGUAGGUGGCAGACGCGGCUCGGAUCCCAUGUUGCUGUGGCUCUGGCGUAGGCCCGUGGCUACAGCUCCAAUUAGACCCCUAGCCUGGGAACCUCCAUAUGCCGCGGGAGCGGCUCAAGAAAAGGCAAAAAGACAAAAAAUAAAAUAAAAUAAAAAAGGAUUUUGUGUGGAUUUUUCUGGGGUCUGGGAUGGUUGGAAUCAGGGUGGCAGAGACGGGGCUUUCUUUCUUUUUCUCCCAUGAAUCUGUGAUGUAUACAAGGCCCUUCCCCAGCUGCCGCAUGAGCCCAACUCCAGGUUCUCCCAGGAGUGCAGCGAGGGACCAAAUCCAGUGAGCCCGGCUGCAUCUGAAAUGCUAUGACUUCAACUGGAAAAGGGGAAAAGGAAGAAUAAAGAGCCAAGUGCGAUGCUGGUGGUGACAACGGUGUCUUCGACCCGUUGUUAGGCCUGUGCAUUAUCUCAUGCGACCUCAGUAUAAGUGGAAGGCCCCCGCCUUAGAGAUUCAGAGAAAGGACCUUGGAGUUCAGGGAAGGGACGUGAACUGCCCAAGGUCAUUUGACAGCCAAACUUGGCCUGGGCUUUGAUGGAGCCUCGGCUAGAAAAGUCAACCCCAAUGACCGUUCUGGUUCUGUAAGAAUCAAGGGUUCACUUUACAUGAAUUAACUUAAU